UAUGGUCAAAUCACACUGAAAAUACUGGUUCUUGUUUGAUCACCGAAGUUAAGCAGCAUCAACCUUGGUUAGCACUUAGAUGGGGGACUGCUUGGGAACACCAGGUGCUGUAAG